rnacentral:lncRNA from 1 species
GUCUUUGAAGGGCAGUAGGUGACCUGCCGGGGUGAUCCUGAGGGUUGAAGAGCUCAUCUGCCUGGCACUGGCCCAGGGCCUGGUGAGCGGUAGUAUUCUUGGAAGGUUGCCCCUUCCCCUCCCAGGGGAAUGAGGCAGCAUGAGAGGAGGGCACUGAAGACAUCACCUGAGAGGAAGCAAGAAGGGCUCUCUCCAGGGCCGUGGCGGAGGUACCCAGGCAGCCUGUGGGGCUGAAGGAAUGUCCUGGAAGGAGGAAAUGCCUCUCAGACGCCGGCAGGAGCAUGAAGCAAUCAGUGAGGCAGGAAGUCCACGAGUCAAGUUGAAGCUGUGGAAGACCUUGAAGACCAGGGGGCUAGGUGAAGUCAGCAGGACUAGGGGAGACAGAGGGGCUAACUGAGGCUGGUUCAGGACAGAAGGACUAGGUGAGGCUGAUUGAGGCCAAGUGCUAGUUGAAGCCAAGUGGACGGUCAAGAGUGCUGGAGCACUAGUGCAGGCCAGGAGGACUUCUUGAGGCAAGGGGAGCUAGUUGGGUCUCCCCAGCUGCACAGGGCCCCAGAUUCCCUGAGUCAGCCGGAGCAGACCUGAGGACGUGCAGAAGUCCCUGAGCCUCGCCUGGUCAUACGUCAUGGGGUGGUCACAGGCCGCUCUCACAUGGCGGCAGGCCUGUCACCACAUAAAAGCUUGGGUCCCCCACUGUCGGGAACACACCCAUCCCACGUGAGACUUGGCUCCUGCUUCUCCCUCUUCCCCUCGCUCAGUGACUUAGGCCUGUUUCUUUCUGCAGUGAGUGGGGAGCCACAGGGGCUUGGCAGCACGUAGCCACUCCACCGUGCCUGUGUCUGGGAAGUCACGAAUAGCAGGAGGCAGCGAGGCGCUUGAACAGGUGUCACCCAUAGGUGCCACCCUACACUUGCACCACCUCACAUUUGAAGGUGCCCCACCCCAGACUGCCCUGGCUUAUCUCUAGUCUCGGUCCUGCCCAGAGGCAGAAAAGUGGGGCCAGAGGCCAGGAAGGGCCAACUGACCCUGAGGAAGUUGAUACCCUGGCACCUGCAGCCCUGCCAGAAGAAGGAAGAGGAGGAGGUGCUGGCAGGAGAGGCUGUCCUCUGCAGUGAGCAGAAGCGUGUCUCAGGCAUGGGACGUAAGCGGCAUUCACCUGCCUUACUCAGAGUGCCUCUGCCUGCUUGGUGUGUCUUGUUUCUGUUAUUUUUAGAAAACACUCAGCCCAGUGGGUGGUUUGGAGCACACACUCUGGAGCUGGACUUCCUAAAUGUGCCAAGCACCUCGCUGUCUGUGAGGACAUGUGAGGAAUAAAUCAGUAACCCCGGCUUCCAGAGGAGGCAAAUACCUGGGCCGACAGGUACACUGCCAUACGGAGAGGACUGUGGACAAAAGACGUGCCCUGAAUUCCCAUCAGGGUUAGCUGCACAAACAUUUUAUGCUCUAGCGUUCAGACUUUGGGACAUUCACCAGGACAGUGAGUCACUUGCAUUUAGCCCCCAGCACCACUACCUCCUGGCUGUAUGACAGUGGCUAAGAGCUAGUUCACAUUGCCUCAGUUUCCCUGUUCUAAAAGUAGACGAUAAUGACAUCAUGAAGUACAAAUUACAGAAGGCCAUUGCUUUGGACCGGAAUCCUUCAUUAAGCCUCCCAAAAUUAAACUAAAAAUCAAAAUGGAGUCACUUAGGCCAGGGAUCCAUGUCAUCAAACUGGAGCUAAGCAUCUAAGCCCUAAGAAAUCAGGAGAGAGACAGAAGUCACUAAAGAGGCCAGUUCCAGAUGGCAUGACGUGAAGUUCCCUCUGCCCCUGUGCUUACAAAAAAA